GACGAACGCUGGCGGCGUGCCUAACACAUGCAAGUCGAACGGAACUGUUUUGAAAGAUUUCUUCGGAAUGAAUUUGAUUUAGUUUAGUGGCGGACGGGUGAGUAACGCGUGAGUAACCUGCCUUCAAGAGGGGGACAACAUUCUGAAAAGAAUGCUAAUACCGCAUGAUAUAUCGGAACCACAUGGUUUUGAUAUCAAAGAUUUUAUCGCUUGAAGAUGGACUCGCGUCCGAUUAGUUAGUUGGUGAGGUAACGGCUCACCAAGACCGCGAUCGGUAGCCGGACUGAGAGGUUGAACGGCCACAUUGGGACUGAGACACGGCCCAGACUCCUACGGGAGGCAGCAGUGGGGGAUAUUGCGCAAUGGGGGCAACCCUGACGCAGCAACGCCGCGUGAAGGAUGAAGGUUUUCGGAUUGUAAACUUCUUUUAUUAAGGACGAAAAAUGACGGUACUUAAUGAAUAAGCUC
rnacentral:rRNA from 1 species